UGGAUAACCGGGUUCACCUGGA
rnacentral:piRNA from 1 species